rnacentral:rRNA from 1 species
GACAGAGGGUGCAAACGUUUGUUCGGAAUUACUGGGCGUAAAGCGCGCGUAGGCAGCAGCGUGUGUCGGGCGUGAAAUCCCAUGGCUCAACCAUGGAAGUGCACUCGAAACUGCGCAGCUAGAGUCUCGGAGAGGAAGGCGGAAUGCUUGGUGUAGAGGUGAAAUUCGUAGAUAUCAAGCGGAACACCAGUGGCGAAGGCGGCCACCUGGACGGAUACUGACGCUGAGACGCGAAAGCGUGGGUAGCAAACAGG